rnacentral:rRNA from 1 species
GUAACAAGGUUUCCGUAGGUGAACCUGCGGAAGGAUCAUUACUGAGUGAGGGCCCUCUGGGUCCAACCUCCCACCCGUGUUUAUUGUACCUUGUUGCUUCGGUGCGCCCGCCUCACGGCCGCCGGGGGGCUUCUGCCCCCGGGUCCGCGCGCACCGGAGACACCAUUGAACUCUGUCUGAAGAUUGCAGUCUGAGCAUAAACUAAAUAAGUUAAAACUUUCAACAACGGAUCUCUUGGUUCCGGCAUCGAUGAAGAACGCAGCGAAAUGCGAUAACUAAUGUGAAUUGCAGAAUUCAGUGAAUCAUCGAGUCUUUGAACGCACAUUGCGCCCCCUGGUAUUCCGGGGGGCAUGCCUGUCCGAGCGUCAUUGCUGCCCUCAAGCACGGCUUGUGUGUUGGGCUCCGUCCCCCCGGGGACGGGUCCGAAAGGCAGCGGCGGCACCGAGUCCGGUCCUCGAGCGUAUGGGGCUUUGUCACCCGCUCUGUAGGCCCGGCCGGCGCCAGCCGACAACCAAUCAUCCUUUUCAGGUUGACCUCGGAUCAGGUAGGGAUACCCGCUGAACUUA